UGGGGAAUUUUGGAUCAAUGGGCGCAAGCCUGAUCCAGCCAUGCCGCGUGCGGGAAGAAGGCCUUCGGGUUGUAAACCGCUUUUGUCAGGGAAGAAAUCUUCUGAGUUAAUACCUCGGGAGGAUGACGGUACCUGAAGAAUAAGCACCGGCUAACUACGUGCCAGCAGCCGCGGUAAUACGUAGGGUGCAAGCGUUAAUCGGAAUUACUGGGCGUAAAGCGUGCGCAGGCGGUUUUGUAAGACAGAGGUGAAAUCCCCGGCUCAACCUGGGAACUGCCUUUGUGACUGCAAGGCUUGAGUGCGGCAGAGGGGGAUGGAAUUCCGCGUGUAGCAGUGAAAUGCGUAGAUAUGCGGAGGAACACCGAUGGCGAAGGCAAUUCCCCUGGGCCUGCACUGACGCUCAUGCACGAAAGCGUGGGGAGCAAACAGGAUUAGAUACCCUGGUAGUCC
rnacentral:rRNA from 1 species